GACGAACGCUGGCGGCGUGCCUAAUACAUGCAAGUCGAACGCAGUGGGGACGGGUGAGUAACACCUGGGUAACCUCCCAUCAGAGGGGAUAACACUUGGAAACAGGUGCUAAACCGAUACUGAUGGAUGGACCCGCUGUGCAUUAGCUAUUGGGUGGGGUAAAGGCUCACCAAGGCCACGAUGCAUAGACGACCUGAGAGGGUGAGCGGCCACACUGGGACUGUGACACGGCCCAGACGCCGAAGGGAGGUAGCAGUAGGGAAUCUUCGGCAAUGGAGGAAAGUAUGAACGAGAAACGCCGCGUGAGUGAAGAAGGUUUUCGGAUCGUAAAACGCUGUUGUUAGAGAAGCGGUAUCUAACAAGAAAGCCACGGCUAACUACGUGCCAGCAGCCGCGGUAAUUC
rnacentral:rRNA from 1 species